AGCGAACGCUGGCGGCAGGCUUAACACAUGCAAGUCGAGCGGGCACCUUCGGGUGUCAGCGGCAGACGGGUGAGUAACACGUGGGAACGUACCCUUCGGUUCGGAAUAACGCUGGGAAACUAGCGCUAAUACCGGAUACGCCCUUAUGGGGAAAGGUUUACUGCCGAAGGAUCGGCCCGCGUCUGAUUAGCUAGUUGGUGGGGUAACGGCCUACCAAGGCGACGAUCAGUAGCUGGUCUGAGAGGAUGAUCAGCCACACUGGGACUGAGACACGGCCCAGAAUCCUACGGGAGGCAGCAGUGGGGAAUAUUGGACAAUGGGCGCAAGCCUGAUCCAGCCAUGCCGGGUGAGUGAUGAAGGCCUUAGGGUUGUAAAGCUCUUUUGUCCGGGACGAUAAUGACGGUACCGGAAGAAUAAGCCCCGGCUAACUUCGUG
rnacentral:rRNA from 1 species